rnacentral:rRNA from 1 species
UACGUAGGGUGCAAGCGUUGUCCGGAAUUAUUGGGCGUAAAGAGCUCGUAGGCGGUUUGUCGCGUCUGCUGUGAAAACUCGGGGCUUAACUCCGGGCCUGCAGUGGGUACGGGCAGACUAGAGUGCGGUAGGGGAGACUGGAAUUCCUGGUGUAGCGGUGAAAUGCGCAGAUAUCGGGAGGAACACCGGUGGCGAAGGCGGCGACCUGGGUAGAUACUGACGCUGAGGCGCGAAAGCGUGGGGAGCAAACAGG